GGUGGAGGUAUGGCUACCAGGCGACGACGGGUAGCCGGCCUGAGAGGGUGACCGGCCACACUGGGACUGAGAUACGGCCCAGACUCCUACGGGAGGCGGCAGUGGAGAAUAUUGCACAAUGGGCGCAAGCCUGAUGCAGCGACGCCGCGUGAGGGACGACGGCCUUCGGGUUGUAAACCUCUUUCAGCACAGACGAAGCGCGAGUGACGGUAUGUGCAGAAGAAGGACCGGCCAACUACGUGCCAGAGCCGCGGCCG
rnacentral:rRNA from 1 species